GCCUUUGUUCUUCACCGCAAGAACUAAUUUGCAAUGUGAAACAGCCUAAAAGGAUUUUGAAAAUCGAUUGUUGGAUUUGGACAUUCAGGGCUAUUAGUACGAGCCAGAAUACAGCCAGGAAGAAUUUACACAAAUAGAGGAGGAGGCUGCUGCGGCUGCAGCUGAACAAGCUUGCCUUCCCUGUGCUGCAGCGAAUUUCAGCGAUGCCAGUUUAUUCUAGAAUAAAUGGCUGAAUCUGGCGAGGACAGGGCCAUGUGUGCAACCUCUCACCCAGGCUUUACGCCUCAUCUGAACAGUCGGGUAUUGGAUACAUAUUUCCGGACCCAGAAAGUGAACUGGAAACGCCAGCCAAAGCCCGCCGGGAGAAACAGACGUCUGAGCAUAGAACAGUAUCGGCUUCCUGUGUUGUCCAGGCCAUCAGAGCUAAUUACCCAGCACAAGAUGGGCAGUACCGUGGCUACCAGGAGACAG